rnacentral:rRNA from 1 species
AUUGAACGCUAGCGGGAUGCUUUACACAUGCAAGUCGAACGGCAGCACGAAGAAAGCUUGCUUUCUUUGGUGGCGAGUGGCGAACGGGUGAGUAVUGUAUCGGAACGUACCCAGUAGCGGGGGAUAACUACGCGAAAGCGUGGCUAAUACCGCAUACGCCCUACGGGGGAAAGGGGGGGAUCGCAAGACCUCUCACUAUUGGAGCGGCCGAUAUCGGAUUAGCUAGUUGGUGGGGUAAAGGCCCACCAAGGCAACGAUCCGUAGCUGGUUUGAGAGGACGACCAGCCACACUGGGACUGAGACACGGCCCAGACUCCUACGGGAGGCAGCAGUGGGGAAUUUUGGACAAUGGGGGCAACCCUGAUCCAGCCAUCCCGCGUGUGCGAUGAAGGCCUUCGGGUUGUAAAGCACUUUUGGCAGGGAAGAAACGGCGCUGACUAAUACUUGGCGCAACUGACGGUACCUGCAGAAUAAGCACCGGCUAACUACGUGCCAGCAGCCGCGGUAAUACGUAGGGUGCAAGCGUUAAUCGGAAUUACUGGGCGUAAAGCGUGCGCAGGCGGUUCGGAAAGAAAGAUGUGAAAUCCCAGAGCUUAACUUUGGAAUGGCAUUUUUAACUACCGGGCUAGAGUAUGUCAGAGGGGGGUAGAAUUCCACGUGUAGCAGUGAAAUGCGUAGAGAUGUGGAGGAAUACCGAUGGCGAAGGCAGCCCCCHUGGGAUAAUACUGACGCUCAUGCACGAAAGCGUGGGGAGCAAACAGGAU